UAGAGCUACAUGGAACAGAUUUGAACCAUUGUGAUGCAAGCACAAAUGGAGCACAGUUGAAGCAUAGGAAGGAUAGUAACCAUGUUACAGAGUAGCGACAUCUCAGCAAGAUCUUGCAGGGCAUGUAAGAGUGGGCAUGUGCAGAACAUGCUGACCUGGCCUUCCAUCUGUCACGAGCAGCUUGACUAAGAUCAUCAUAAAUUCUUUUUUCUUGGCAUUCUUUUAGCUGGUACUCUGUUUACUAGCCCUCUGUGCAACUGUAGUGCCAUGACGAUUGAUGGUUAUAAUUCUGACCCUGAAGCACUUCAAGGCUCCUAAAUCAUCAGAAAAAGAUUAAAGUAUAUUCAAUAUCACUCUAA